GUGAGCCUUGAAGCCUGGGGUGUGGGCCUGGGCAGAGCUGGUGCAGGUGUAAAUCUUGGUGGUAGAAGCAAAUAUUCAAAUGAGAACUUUGAAGGCUGAAGUAGAAAAGGGUUCUAUGU
rnacentral:rRNA from 1 species